GGGCCUCUAGCUCAAUUGGCAGAGCAGCGGACUUUUAAUCCGUUAGUUGUGGGUUCGAGUCCCACGGGGCCUA
rnacentral:tRNA from 1 species